GCCCGGAGCUCAGAAGUUUGGGGUAGGUUAAUGGUUAAUGCGAGCUGUCUCUCCACACAGGGGCAUCCCUUCCCCAGUUUAUCUAAUCACAUUUGCUAAUCUACAUGGAGAUGAAGGAUCCUCUUGUGGGAAAAAAAAAGAUCAGAGACUCCAACACCCUUCGUGCCUGUAGAGGAUAAAAUCCAAAGUAACCCAUUCAUCAAGCAUCCUCUGAGUUGCCGCUCUGGGGGCAUAUAAGUUUCUACAGACUCCCCUGUUACUCUCAGGAUAAAGUCUCAGCUCCUGAGAUGGAUACAAGGUCUUCUGUGGUCUUUCUUCUGCCCACGCUUUCAGCCAAAUCUCCCACGAGCCAUGACAAAGCAACUGUGAAUUUCUCAAGACAGAACGAUGUGAGUUAUCGACCUUCUGAAGUCAUACUUCUCAGCCUUGAAUCCCAGCCCUACCCGUUGCCAAAUAUGGAUUCUUGGGCCAGUAACUUAACCGUUCCAUGCCUCAGUUUUAUCUUUUUUGAAACUUUGGCCCUCAAAGGGGCA